AAACUUAAAUGAAUUGACGGGGCCCGCACAAGCGGUGGAGCAUGUGGUUUAAUUCGAUGCAACGCGAAGAACCUUACCUGGGCUUGACAUCCCGGGAAUCCCUUGGAAACAAGGGAGUGCCCUUCGGGGAACCUGGAGACAGGUGGUGCAUGGUUGUCGUCAGCUCGUGUCGUGAGAUGUUGGGUUAAGUCCCGCAACGAGCGCAACCCCUACGUUUAGUUGCUAACGCGUGAAGGCGAGCACUCUAGACGAACUGCCGUUGACAAAACGGAGGAAGGUGGGAUGACGUCAAAUCAUCAUGCCCCUUAUGUUCUGGGCUACACACGUGCUACAAUGGCCGGUACAGACGGACGCAAAGCCGCGAGGUGGAGCAAAUCCUAAAAAGCCGGUCUCAGUUCGGAUUGCAGGCUGCAAUUCGCCUGCAUGAAGUCGGAAUCGCUAGUAAUCGCAGGUCAGCAUACUGCGGUCGAAUACGUUCCCGGGCCUU
rnacentral:rRNA from 1 species